AUAUUUUUGUUCAGUAUAGGUAGGUCGUGAAUGGUCUCUCUCCAGUACAGUAGGUGGCAGUGUGCAGCUUAAAUUGGAUGCGCUCCGCCAAAGCAAUCCAAAAGAAGAAGUAUUUUUUUUGUCCUCGUCUGAGGCGGCAAACGAGCGAAGUGGAGCACCUUUUUUAAAAACUUUUGUUAAACCCUUACAUGUUGCUAUGUCUUAACUAAAGGAGAUGAUUCGCAUGGAUGGAAAUGACCGAAACGAAUGUGGCUCAGCAUAUCUCAACGAGUCCGGUGUCCUUGAAGUCAAGAGAUGCAUGCUGACAAUAAAGUGUGUCGGCAUCUCAUCGUGUCCGAUGUCCGUGAUGAACUCACAUGGUGGGGCGUCUAUUGAGACCAGAUGCAUGACUACACCGAAGGGGCAAAGCAUAGAAAUAUAUUGACAGAUUCUAUUUCUGUUGGAUCUAGAAAUAGAUCCUUCUCACCUCUGCUGUAAUUAGCCUACCUGAAAGCACCGCACGGCCCAUUGACGACACAUGGGCAACUUACACAAUGGCCGUUAAUACGAUUCCAAUGGAAUUUCCCCAUAUCCUCAAAAGUAUCUCUGACCAACCCAGCAGUCCUAUUUUGCUAUUAUGAAAAUGUAAUUCAACAAUGCCAAUGUUUUAAAUGUGUCUUUUACUUUCAAAAGCAGUUCAAACAGAGAACAUGGAAGACUGAACUGUAGCCACUGAAUUCUACCGUGCUGAUGUAUUGUGCGUUAUAGGGAAAUAAUGCACGCUCUAAAAUGCCCUUCAAGCCAAUCCGUAACGAGUAUUUAACAAUGCUGUGGUAUAAAGUAGGGGGCAUGAGAGCUACUAAAAAAAAUGAAGUGUAAUUUAUUUUUAUGGCUUUCAAAUGGGCCCGUUCUUUUUGUCAUAACUGGUGAAAUAAUGGUUAAUACACAACUAAGGGGGCCCCAUAAAAUGUAUUCAGGAUUUUUUUCGUUUAAAUGUUACUCUCAGUAGGCUUAAUAUAAAUAUAUAUUGACAAUGAAAAAUGAUGGUCGGGGGGGACUAACAAAUUUGAGUUUACUUCUCUAUGCAUUAAUCAAGAAGGGAAUGUCUGCUGCAGCACAGUUUGCUAAACAAUGGCUACCCAAUUGAGACAAUCAUAUAUUUUUGUCAGGUAAGCCUACUAAUGUCAAUGUGGCGUUGAUUGGGUAGCACCCGGGAGCUUUUUGUUUAUGACCGUCUGCGAUAGAACUCAUAAAAAGCAUAUAU